UGCCCACUGAUUAAAUAUUUUAUAUUAAAGGGCUGCAGUAUUUUGACUGUACAAAGGUAGCAUAAUCAUUAGUCAUUUAAUUGGUGACUUGUAUGAAAGAUUGGAUGAAAUAUAAACUGUCUUUUAGAUAAAUUUAGAAUUUAAUUUUUGAGUUAAAAAGCUUAAAUAGAUUAAAAAGACGAGAAGACCCUAUAGAGUUUUAUUUUUAGUUAAAAUUAAAAUUUUUAUUAGUUUUAUUAAUUUGAUUAUAAUAAAAAAUUUUAUUGGGGUGAUAGAAAAAUUUAAUAAACUUUUUUUUUUUUUUACAUAAAUAAGUGGGUUAUUGAUCCAAUUUUAUUGAUUAUAAGAAAAAAUUACCUUAGGGAUAACAGCGUAAUUUUAUUUUUUAGUUCAAAUAGGAAAUAAAGUUUGCGACCUCGAUGUUGGAUUAAGAUAAAAUUUAAAUGCAGAAGUUUAAAAUUUUGA
rnacentral:rRNA from 1 species